GAUGAACGCUGGCGGCGUGCCUAAUACAUGCAAGUCGAGCGAACAGACGAGGAGCUUGCUCCUCUGACGUUAGCGGCGGACGGGUGAGUAACACGUGGAUAACCUACCUAUAAGACUGGGAUAACUUCGGGAAACCGGAGCUAAUACCGGAUAAUAUAUUGAACCGCAUGGUUCAAUAGUGAAAGACGGUUUUGCUGUCACUUAUAGAUGGAUCCGCGCCGCAUUAGCUAGUUGGUAAGGUAACGGCUUACCAAGGCGACGAUGCGUAGCCGACCUGAGAGGGUGAUCGCCCACACUGUAACUGAGACACGGUCCAGACUCCUACGGGAGGCAGCAGUAGGGAAUCUUCCGCGAUGGGCGAAAGCCUGACGGAGCAACGCCGCGUGAGUGAUGAAGGUCUUCGGAUCGUAAAACUCUGUUAUUAGGGAAGAACAAAUGUGUAAGUAACUAUGCACGUCUUGACGGUACCUAAUCAGAAAGCCACGGCUAACUACGUG
rnacentral:rRNA from 1 species